rnacentral:rRNA from 1 species
GAUGAACGCUAGCGGCAGGCCUAAUACAUGCAAGUCGAACGGUGUAGCAAUACACAGUGGCGCACGGGUGCGUAACACGUAUGCAACCUACCUUACAUUGGGGGAUAGCCUUUCGAAAGGGAGAUUAAUACCGCAUAAGACAGUAACUAGGCAUCUAGUAGCUGUUAAAGAUUUAUCGAUGUAAGCUGGGCAUGCGUCCAAUUAGUUAGUUGGCGAGGUAAUGGCUCACCAAGACGAUGAUUGGUAGGGGAACUGAGAGGUCAAUCCCCCACACUGGCACGGAGAUACGGGCCAGACUCCUACGGGAGGCAGCAGUAGGGAAUAUUGGGCAAUGGGCGCAAGCCUGACCCAGCCAUGCCGCGUGCAGGAAGAAGGCGUUAUGCGUUGUAAACUGCUUUUAUACAGGAAGAAACGACCCUUGCGAGGGGCAUUGACGGUACUGUAUGAAUAAGCACCGGCUAACUCCGUGCCAGCAGCCGCCGUAAAAC